rnacentral:rRNA from 1 species
UACGUAGGGGGCAAGCGUUAUCCGGAAUCAUUGGGCGUAAAGCGCGUGUAGGCGGUUGUUCAAGUCAGGUGUGAAAGCCUUGAGCUCAACUCAAGAAAUGCACUUGAUACUGGAUGACUAGAGUCCGGAAGAGGAGAGUGGAAUUCCUGGUGUAGCGGUGAAAUGCGCAGAUAUCAGGAAGAACACCCGUGGCUAAGGCGGCUCUCUAGUACGGUACUGACGCUGAGACGCGAAAGCGUGGGGAGCGAACAGG